CUCCAGUCCUCAAGGGUUUGAUUGGUGUCGCACAUUUUCUCCAUCCCUAGCAAACAUAGCUGAUUAAUCAAAUGUCAUUCUAAACUGAAGAUCAUGAUUAGGUGAUUAUUGGAGUCAGGUGUGUUAGCUGGAGCUGGGGCAAAGCUGUGAUACCAAUCAGGCCCUGGAGUAUUGGGUGCCCUGGGUAUUGGCCACUUUCUCUCUCUUUGAUGGUUAUACAUAUCUGGGUGGAUGCUAUAUUCCUGGCAAUGGAGGGAAAGUACCAGAGAAGCGGCUCCGAUGGAGUGACUGACCAUUCAGAGAAGCAGGUGCGCUGUUGAAGAGCUCCUGGACUUGGGUGCAACAGGAAAGGAAGACCAUGAAGCCAAUGCCAUUUGCAAUGUGUUUCCCCUCCCCAGGUGACAGUUAUGUGACUGUCUGCCCAACAACAUCAAAAAGACCAAACGGUCAACCUUGCGCUGAAGAGCACUGGUCCUUUACUGUAACAGCACAACUUCUGGGAAAUAAAGUGUGGAGGCUUGAUGAGCACACCGCUUGGUUCAGGGAAAGGCGAGGUCAAGAUGAAGAUAAGACUACCAGGGCAGGCACACAGCUCGCUGGAGUUUGUCUCCAGGUUUCGUCAGUGGGUCGUGGCAGAUGGGUCGCUAUGGUCCUCCUCUCUAUGGCCUCACAGGUCUACAUAAUGCACUGCAAUACUGUCUCGAAUCCAAGACGAUAUAGAAUUUUGCAAAACCAGAUGGAAGUCCCUCCGUGACACUUUUUUUAAGGCACCUACAGAAGGCCCAACCCAGCGGUUCUGGGGGAACCAAUCAGAAAGAAUGGAAAUACAUAUAUUAUAUCAUUCUUGAUACCUUACAUCCAGCCAACAAGCUCAAGAGGCAACCUCAGCCUUGAAAAUGCUGAUUCGCCUCAGCCACAACCUGUGGAGAUGGAUGACACUGAGGACAACGUGGGUUCCCCGAGCCAUGACCCUGUGCUUCAGAUGCCUGAACAUCAGUCAAGACCAACCACUACAGACACGGCUCAAGACUGGCAUCCAAGAAAAAGAAAACAGAAGGUCAACCAUCAAGAUGUGGAUGAAGAGCUGCUUGCAUUUGUCAGGAAGCCAAUCCCUUCUGCUGCUACCUCAGAUGAUGUGGAUGAGGUAUUUGUGCACAGCCUUGUGUCAGGAAGAAACAAGGGCACUCUGAAAAUGCAACUACUAUCAUUGAUUGUAAACUAGGAUGACCAGCAUGCAACACCUCUGCCACCACUUCCACCACCACAAUGGCUCUUUGAUGCUCUGCAUGGAAGAGUUGGACUGCAGCCUAUGAUGUACGGCCAGCCCAGGCAUCAAUACUCCUACUCACCAGGAUCUAUCUAACACAUAACUAGGAUGACCAGCAGGCAACACCACUGCCACCACCACGGCCUGCAAGUACUCCGCACGGAAAAGGUGGACUGCAGCCAAUCAUGUACGAUGAGCCCAGUGAUCAAUACUCACCAGAACUUAGGUCUCCAACACAUAGCUGGGAUGACAGCUUCAGUACAUUUUCUUAAGAGAGCUGGGUCCAAGAAUCCCAGUCACAUUGAUAAUCCCCUCCUAAAAAGACACAUCCCAUGUUCUGUUUUAGAGUUUUAAAAAGGGAAAGGUUUAUGUAUGCACUAUUUGCACUUCUUUGUUGUUGCAGUUAUAUUUGCAUUGCACCUUGUAUUUAACAUUUUUUUAAUCAUUUUUUGCUAUUCAGUGAAUAUUGUAAUUGGGAAGGAUAUGCCAUUUUUUGUUUACAUGCCUUGCUGUGGCUGUUCAUCUCACCUACAACAGGUGCACCAUGCCUUGUUGUGACUGUUAAUGUCACCUUGAAUAGUUAUAAGUAAAAUGCUAAACAAAGAACAGUGUGUCUUACUUACCUCGAGUAUAAUGAAAAGACACUAUAGCACCUGGUGAUCUUGCUGCUCCCUAAAUGUAAUGGAACAUAGGCCUACAUCUGUGGAGCAUCAUGAUCACCAGUGUGCUGGAGUUUUUUUACACUAUAGUAUACUGCUCUUCUCCAUGCACCUUCUUACACAAUACACCCUUUUCCAAUAACUUACCUUAGAGUGACAGCUAGUUUUUGCUUUGGCUCUAUUGGGGUCCUGUAGUUGGUCGUCGGCUUGGUGAGGUCUGGGCCAACAAAAGACUCCAUCUCUUCUGCACUCAUCCGGAUGUAUCAGUGAUGUCAGGCAUGGUCCAAGAGCAGCUCCUGGACAAGGUGGUAGUAUUGCCCAUGCCCCCUUUUAUGGGAUGCACCCAUAACUGCCUUCCCUGUCUGCGUUUCAAUAAUACAAAGGCGACCAACUUCUAUC